UACGGGGGGGGCAAGCGUUGUUCGGAAUUACUGGGCGUAAAGGGCUCGUAGGCGGCCAACUAAGUCAGACGUGAAAUCCCUCGGCUUAACCGGGGAACUGCGUCUGAUACUGGAUGGCUUGAGAUUGGGAGAGGGAUGCGGAAUUCCAGGUGUAGCGGUGAAAUGCGUAGAUAUUCGGAAGAACACCAGUGGCGAAGGCGACUUACUGGACACAUAUUGACGCUGAGGUGCGAAAGCGUGGGGAGCAAACAGG
rnacentral:rRNA from 1 species